UGAAGUCGGAAUUGCUAGUAAUCGUAGAUCAGCAUGCUACGGUGAAUACGUUCCCGGGCCUUGUACACACCGCCCGUCAAACCAUGAGAGUUGGCAACACCCGAAGCCUGUAGCUUAACCGCAAGGACGGCGCAGUCGAAGGUGGGGUCGAUGAUUAGGGUUAAGUCGUAACAAGGUAUC
rnacentral:rRNA from 1 species